AUACGGAGGGCGCAAGCGUUGCCCGGAAUCACUGGGUGUAAAGGGUGCGUAGGCGGGGCUGUAAGUCAGAGGUGAAAGCCCUCGGCUCAACCGGGGAAUUGCCUCUGAUACUGCAGCUCUUGAGUCCCGGAGAGGCCGCUGGAAUUCCUGGUGUAGCGGUGAAAUGCGUAGAUAUCAGGAGGAACACCGGAGGCGAAGGCGGGCGGCUGGACGGGGACUGACGCUGAGGCACGAAAGCGUGGGGAGCAAACAGGAUUAGAAACCCCAGUAGUCC
rnacentral:rRNA from 1 species